UACACAUGCAGUCGAACGAUGAUCCGGAGCUUGCUNNCGGGGAUUAGUGGCGAACGGGUGAGUAACACGUGAGUAACCUGCCCUUGACUCUGGGAUAAGCGCUGGAAACGGCGUCUAAUACCGGAUACGACCUGCCCCGGCAUCGGGUGCGGGUGGAAAGUUUUUCGGUCAAGGAUGGACUCGCGGCCUAUCAGCUUGUUGGUGAGGUAAUGGCUCACCAAGGCGACGACGGGUAGCCGGCCUGAGAGGGUGACCGGCCACACUGGGACUGAGACACGGCCCAGACUCCUACGGGAGGCAGCAGUGGGGAAUAUUGCACAAUGGGCGAAAGCCUGAUGCAGCAACGCCGCGUGAGGGAUGACGGCCUUCGGGUUGUAAACCUCUUUUAGUAGGGAAGAAGGGCCUUNGGGUUUGACGGUACCUGCAGAAAAAGCACCGGCUAACUACGUGCCAGCAGCCGCGGUAAUACGUAGGGUGCAAGCGUUGUCCGGAAUUAUUGGGCGUAAAGAGCUCGUAGGCGGUUUGUCGCGUCUGCUGUGAAAACCCGAGGCUCAACCUCGGGCCUGCAGUGGGUACGGGCAGACUAGAGUGCGGUAGGGGAGAAUGGAAUUCCUGGUGUAGCGGUGGAAUGCGCAGAUAUCAGGAGGAACACCGAUGGCGAAGGCAGUUCUCUGGGCCGUAACUGACGCUGAGGAGCGAAAGCGUGGGGAGCGAACAGGAUUAGAUACCCUGGUAGUCCACGCCGU
rnacentral:rRNA from 2 species